GCCGAGGCCAGAGUCUCGCCCAGGCAUGGUGUUGCCCCGGCGUGCUGGGGUCCUCGGAGAGCAGCCGCUGGCCGUAUUCGCCGGCCGUGGCCCCAUGGCCAGGCUGGUCUCUAGGCCAGGGACAGGC
ensembl:snoRNA